rnacentral:lncRNA from 1 species
AGAAGUAAGUUGUUGAGAUUGAGGAUCCUCUUAGCCUCGACUCCUAUAUGUACUAGGUCCUAGGAAGCUUCUUGAGAAUUUUCUAUUAGGCUUGAAAACAAAGUAAGCCUAAGAUCCUUCUUCAGCAACUUUUUAAAUCACCUAAAGCCUCCUAGAACCUUCUAGAACCUCCUAUGACCUUCUAGAACCUUCUUAAAAUCUAUUAGAACCUUUCAAAAUCUUCUAGAACCUCCUAGAAUCUUCAAGAGUCUUCUUA